rnacentral:tRNA from 2 species
GCGAUUAUAACUCAAUGGUAGAGUUAGAUUGUGGGUCUAAGUGUUAUGGGUUCAAGUCCCAUUUUUCGCC